rnacentral:rRNA from 1 species
CCUACGGGUGGCAGCAGUGAGGAAUAUUGGUCAAUGGACGAGAGUCUGAACCAGCCAAGUAGCGUGAAGGAUGACUGCCCUAUGGGUUGUAAACUUCUUUUAUAUGGGAAUAAAAUGUUCCACGUGUGGGAUUUUGUAUGUACCAUAUGAAUAAGGAUCGGCUAACUCCGUGCCAGCAGCCGCGGUAAUACGGAGGAUCCGAGCGUUAUCCGGAUGUAUUGGGUGUAAAGGGAGCGUAGGUGGAUUGUUAAGUCAGUUGUGAAAGUUUGCGGCUCAACCGGAAAAUUGCAGUUGAAACUGGCAGUCUGGAGUACAGUAGAGGUAGGCGGAAUUCGUGGUGUAGCGGUGAAAUGCUUAGAUAUCGCGAAGAACGCCGAUGGCGAAGGCAGCUCACUGGACUGCAACUGACACUGAGGCUCGAAAGUGUGGGUAUCAAACAGGAUUAGAUACCCCAGUAGUC